AGAGUUUGAUCCUGGCUCAGAUUGAACGCUGGCGGCAUGCUUUACACAUGCAAGUCGAACGGCAGCACGGGGGCAACCCUGGUGGCGAGUGGCGAACGGGUGAGUAACACAUCGGAACAUAUCUUAAAGUGGGGAAUAACGCAUCGAAAGGUGUGCUAAUACUCCAUAUACUCUAGCGAGGAAAGCGGGGGAUCGAAAGACCUCGUGCUUUAAGAGUGGCCGAUGUCUGAUUAGCUAGUUGGUAAGGUAAAAGCUUACCAAGGCGACGAUCAGUAGCUGGUCUGAGAGGACGAUCAGCCACACUGGGACUGAGACACGGCCCAGACUCCUACGGGAGGCAGCAGUGGGGAAUUUUGGACAAUGGGCGAAAGCCUGAUCCAGCCAUGCCGCGUGAGUGAAGAAGGCCUUCGGGUUGUAAAGCUCUUUCGGUCGAGAAGAAAUGUCUAUGACUAAUACUUAUAGAAAAUGACGGUAUCGACAUAAGAAGCACCGGCUAACUACGUGCCAGCAGCCGCGGUAAUACGUAGGGUGCAAGCGUUAAUCGGAAUUAUUGGGCGUAAAGGGUGCGCAGGCUGUGUUGUAAGUCAGAUGUGAAAUCCCCGGGC
rnacentral:rRNA from 1 species